rnacentral:tRNA from 2 species
GGGCCUCUAGCUCAACCGGCAGAGCAGCGGACUUUUAAUCCGCGGGUUGUGGGUUCGAUCCCCACGGGGCCCACCC